AUGCCUCUGUGGUUGCCACAGACUAGCCUGUCGCCCUUACGUUUCCAGAAGGGCAGGAUGACUCCUCUGGUCCAGUCACUGG